rnacentral:rRNA from 1 species
CCUACGGGUGGCAGCAGUGAGGAAUAUUGGUCAAUGGACGGAAGCCUGAACCAGCCAAGCAGCGUGAAGGAAGACGGCUCUAUGAGUUGUAAACUGCUUUUGUAAGAGGGUAAACGCAGACACGCGUAUCUGUCUGAAAGUAUCGUACGAAUAAGGAUCGGCUAACUCCGUGCCAGCAGCCGCGGUAAUACGGAGGAUUCAAGCGUUAUCCGGAUUUAUUGGGUUUAAAGGGUGCGUAGGCGGUCGGAUAAGUUAGAGGUGAAAUCACUAGGCUCAACUUCGGCAUUGCCUCUGAUACUGUUCGGCUAGAGUGUAGUUGCGGUAGGCGGAAUGUGUGGUGUAGCGGUGAAAUGCUUAGAGAUCACGCAGAACCCCGAUUGCGAAGGCAGCUUACCAAGCUACUUCUGACGUUGAGGCACGAAAGCGUGGGGAGUAAACAGGAUUAGAUACCCUGGUAGUC